CAUGCUUAUAAGUUAUUUCAAUUUAAAACCUUCUAAGUCAUGUCAAGUAUAAUUGGAUAAACUGCCCUUUACGAAAAUAUAAAAUGUUUCAGAAAAUGCAUGCCCACUAAGUACAUUAGUACUUAGCCCAAAAAUACUUUCAAAUGUUUUCAGGUUGGCUGGCCGAUGCUGACGGGACGGAGCUGAGGCUAGGGUUAAAUUCCUAUUUUAGACUUCCGCUGUAGCAAAUACUCAUAUACGUCUUUUGUUUUUCC
rnacentral:lncRNA from 1 species